CGUAAGUACUUGACUGUGCUCAAAAAUCUUUCAUCACUGAAUUAAAAAUUUAGGUAGUCUGGUAUUAAAGCACAGUGAGUUACUUGCGAGUCACCGUGGUGAUCUCAAUCGAAGGGAUACUUAUAUUCAUAUCCUUUGUGAGCUAUUUUUGACAGUAGAGUGCUUAACAGUUAGUCACGUUUAGUAAGAUAUACUCCUACAUCUCACUUGUAUGCCAUGUCAAUAUCUCUACACUUCUUAACUAAGAAAAUAACUAAUGUAUAUGACAUACAAUGACCUACACUUGAU
rnacentral:lncRNA from 1 species